rnacentral:rRNA from 1 species
AUUGAACGCUGGCGGCAGGCUUAACACAUGCAAGUCGAGCGGGGGAGGUUGCUUCGGUAACUGACCUAGCGGCGGACGGGUGAGUAAUGCUUAGGAAUCUGCCUAUUAGUGGGGGAUAACGCGGGGAAACUCGCGCUAAUACCGCAUACGUCCUACGGGAGAAAGCGGGGGCUCUUCGGACCUCGCGCUAACAGAUGAGCCUGCGUCGCAUCAGCUAGUUGGUGGGGUAAUGGCCUACCAAGGCGAAGACGCGUAGCUGGUCUGAGAGGAUGAUCAGCCACACUGGGACUGAGACACGGCCCAGACUCCUACGGGAGGCAGCAGUGGGGAAUAUUGGACAAUGGGCGCAAGCCUGAUCCAGCCACGCCGCGUGAGUGAUGAAGGCCUUCGGGUCGCAAAGCUCUGUGGGGAGGGACGAACCGCCGGAUGUGCAUAGCAUCCGGCAUGACGGUACCUCCUUAGCAAGCACCGGCUAACUUCGUACCAGCAGCCGCCGUAACAC